GCGCCCAUAGCUCAGUUGGAUAGAGUAACGGACUACGAAUCCGUAGGUCGCAGGUUCGAAUCCUGCUGGGCGCACCA
rnacentral:tRNA from 4 species